CGUCAUGCGGUCGCCAGCCUCACUGCUCAUUUUAACAAAUAGGACAGCUCCGCUCUGGCCACCUGGCACUCGCGCGCACACUGGUCCGAUGCGUCACAAAUUCACAACAACCGGGAGUUUUUCGCGCGUCAUUGACUUAGGAGGCUGUGAUUGGAAAUCGGGACUGGAGGGAAAAUUGCCCAUAAUUCGGGAUGUCACGGGUAAUACGGGACGGUUGGCAACCCUAGGCACACAUUUACUUCCACUCCAUGACCUCGGAGGUGCUUAAUCAUAUUUGACGCGCACCCUCUUAUGCAUGAAACAAUUUUGCUGCAAAUGUUGCAUUUUGCCAAGUUUUCGGUUUGUGUAACCACACGUUGGACCGCCGACGCACGCUAUCCAUGUUCGAGCGCUCUGUUAUGACAACACUUCCGGUGGACGCUUCUUCGUUGGUGUUCAGUGGUUUCUAUUUCCGGUCGGCGCCGGCGUUACACCGAAAUCUGUGACCCAUCAGAAACUGUGACCGCAGAGGGCGCUGUUUCACAUAGUCUCCUCGUGCGUGCUAGACAAUGGAGGGCGAAGAAGAGCGACGACUCAAACGGCGUAAACAUAAGAGCGCCUACGCAAACCGCGCAAAAGAAAGAACUACUACUAUUUAGGGGAGGUAACUUUACUCGCAAUUAGCCUCAUGGUCACAUCCCUUCGCCAUGGAUGCACAGAUGUUUAAAGAGUUGCUGGAUUAUCUUGUUAAAGGACAAUUACCAGAAAAUUAUAACAAACACCAGCGCUUCCCCAUUCGAAGAAGGGCGGCAAGCUACUACGUCGAAGAUGACCAAUUGUAUUACAUCAGACACAAGGGUUCUGACAAAGAAGUCAAAGCCAAAGUUGUGUGUGGUGCAGCCAACGCAGACACCAUAUUUAGAGAAUUCAACGCCAGUGAAAUAGGUGCACACUGUGGACAAAUUAAAACAAGGGAUGCCAUUUCUCUUAGGUAUUAUUGGCCUUCCAUGACAUCUGACAUCGAGAAAUGGAUGUGACUGAGGCUUGGGAAGGCAAAGACGUCCAUGCACUGCUGUCAAGUAUCGGGCAGUACAAAUUGUUCUAUUGGGACAUUAGGAGGACAAGUCCCAAUCAGGAACUUGAAAGUGAGGUA